rnacentral:rRNA from 1 species
CCAGACUCCUACGGGAGGCAGCAGUGGGGGAUAUUGCACAAUGGGGGGAACCCUGAUGCAGCGACGCCGCGUGGGUGAAGGAGUAUUUCGGUAUGUAAAGCCCUAUCGGCAGGGGAGAAGAAAGACGGUACCUGACUAAGAAGCCCCGGCUAACUACGUGCCAGCAGCCGCGGUAAUACGUAGGGGGCGAGCGUUAUCCGGAUUUACUGGGUGUAAAGGGAGCGUAGACGGCCAAGCAAGCCAGGGGUGAAAGCCCGGGGCCCAACCCCGGGACUGCCCUUGGAACUGCAUGGCUGGAGUGCGGGAGGGGCAGGCGGAAUUCCUGGUGUAGCGGUGAAAUGCGUAGAUAUCACGCAGAACCCCGAUUGCGAAGGCAGCCUUCCGGCGCCCUACUGACGCUGAGGCACGAAAGUGCGGGGAUCGAACAGGAUUAGAUACCCCUGUA